CUGGCAAAGAACCGAGAGUGUUAUGAUCAUGAAGAUCUUGGUAGAAGCUUUAUAUUUUUGAAGUCACUCAGACUCACUGAAGGACGUUGACUGCUCCUAUUCUGAUGAAGCCUCUGAAACUGGAGUGGUGAUGUCAUGGAAAAGAAGAUGACAUUCACAUCCCAAGAAAGGGCUGAAGAAAAGCAUACUGCCUUAUGUGGAAAGUUCCUGAAAGCCUUUACACACUUAACUUCCAUCCCAUCAGCCAGAAAUUGGUGACUAUGCUCAACAGUAAGGGAGAUACAAAUAUGUAGUUUUUAUUCUAAUGAGCAGUGAGUCACCUUAUGAUCAGGAAUUCUAUUGUUUCAUGAAAAAACAAAUGGAGAUUACAGAGAAGCAAUCCCAAUACGGAUUUUAAGGACCAAACUGAAGUCUGAGACUACUCCCUUGGGGGUAGCACAUUUUCCACAGUUAGAGGAAUUUUAGUUCCAGGAUAGGGCACUUAAUAAAUUCAAGCAGAGCAGAAACCCUGGAUUAUAGAAGAGACUGGAGAUCAGUUUAUGUCAACUUUGAUCUCUUCACCUUACCCUUCCUGCAGGUCCUCAGGUAACAGACCUGUAACCUUGGGCAUAGAGCAUAAACAUCGUUAACACCUCAAAGUACAUAGGUAGUUUGGAAGAGAAAAAAAAACUUGUUUCUGAUACUGAAAGAAGGAAUAAGGAAGAUAUAAUACAGAAAUGAAAAGAAAUAAAAUUAGAGAAUUGGGAUAAAACGGCUCAAGGAUGAACAAAUAGGGGAAAAAUGGCUUAGCACAGCUAUCUAAGCAACCGGGAAAAAACAACAACAACAACUUGUUUUUAAAGAUAAUUUACAAUGCAAAGGACUAAACCCAACUUUGAAGAAACAAAAACCAAGGAACAGAAAGCAAUUCCUCACAAGAGAUUUAUGCUACAAAAUAACUGAAGAAUAUAAUUAAAUAAAAUGAAAAAUCAAAGAGAAGAAGACAGAACAGCAGAAUGAGAUUAAAAGAGAGGUUGCAUGCUAAUGAAACAAAGUAAGGAUCAAAAUAAUAUCAUUUGGAGCUACCAAAGAUGUCAGACUAAAAUGUAGAAAAUAACAGUUAUUAAUGACAUAUUUGUAUUACAAUAAACAAAAGCAAAUAAUUCAAGGUUAAACCCCUGAUUGUAUUUCCAUUUCAAACAUGACCAAAAAAGUUUCAGGGAUUGUGCAUCUCGUAUAUAUAUCAUUAGAUGGAGGAGAGUGUUACAGCUAGCCCAACAAAAACGUUUAUUUUUUUUUUCAGUAAAUUCAAUUCCUUUUUUUUUUUUUUUUUAAAUCAUCCAAGACCGAAGAGACAAGUGUGGAGUGUGAAAAUAGCAGGCAACGUUUGACAUUUUAAAAUUUGUUUUCUACUAGCUCCAUACAAAGAAGAGCUUGCUCUAGGGCUGGCCUGAGACUUGGACCACAAGAAAAGCUCAGUGUGGUGAGGUGAAUGCCCGUACAGACGAGACCGUUGGGAAUGUACUCCAUCUUUUUGGUAGCAUUUGUUCCACCCACGCCCUCCUCUGCUGGUUUCCUUGAGAUUGCUACAGAAGUCAGAGAAGACACAUGCAUGGCUUUGAAAAGUGGUGUAAAUUUUCCUACUUGCAUAAACUAUAU